UCCGUCGGAAUCCGGGAGGACCAUCUCCCAAGGCUAAAUACUACCUAGUGACCGAUAGUGAACCAGUACCGUGAGGGAAAGGUGAAAAGUACCCCGAGAGGGGAGUGAAAUAGCACCUGAAACCGUGUGCCUACAAGUAGUCGGAGCCCAUGUUGAUUAUCCUUCGGGAUAGUCACGGGUGACGGCGUACCUUUAGCAGAAUGGACCGGCGAGUUAUGAUUGCGUGCAAGGUUAAGUGAAUUAUUCAUGGAGCCGCAGCGAAAGCGAGUCUGAAUAGGGCGACAUAGUACGCGGUCAUAGACCCGAAACCAUGUGAUCUACCCAUGUCCAGGGUGAAGGCCAGGUAAUACUGGCUGGAGGCCCGAACCCACGUAUGUUGGCGGGGAUGAGGUGUGGGUAGGGGUGAAAAGCCAAUCGAACAUGGAGAUAGCUGGUUCUCUCCGAAAUAGCUUUAGGGCUAGCCUCAAAAGGUAGAGUGUUGGAGGUAGAGCACUGAUUGAACUAGGGGCUCUCAUCGAGUUACCGAAUUCAGUCAAACUCCGAAUGCCAAUUACUUUCUUUUGGGAGUCAGACAAUGAGUGAUAAGGUUCAUUGUCAAGAGGGAAACAACCCAGACCACCAGUUAAGGUCCCCAAGUAUACGUUAAGUGGAAAAGGAUGUGAAGUUGCAUAGACAACCAGGAUGUUGGCUUAGAAGCAGCCACCAUUUAAAGAGUGCGUAAUAGCUCACUGGUCGAGUGACUUCGCGCCGAAAAUGUACCGGGGCUAAACGUAUCACCGAAACUGUGGGCUGUUCCUUAUGGAACAGUGGUAGGAGAGCGUUCUACGUGCAGCGAAGUAAGAUCGUGAGGACUUAUGGAGCGCGUAGAAGUGAGAAUGCCGGUAUGAGUAACGAAAAAAGAGUGAGAAUCUCUUUCACCGAAAGCCCAAGGAUUCCUGAGGAAGGCUCGUCCUCUCAGGGUUAGUCGGGACCUAAGCUGAGGCCGAAAGGCGUAGGCGAUGGACAACAGAUUGAUAUUUCUGUACCACCUCGUUAUCGUUUGAAUGAUGGGGAGACGCAGGAGGAUAAGAAGAGCGCACCGCUGGUCGAGUGCGUCCAAGCAGUGAGAAAGUUGAAUAGGCAAAUCCGUUCAACAAUUUCAAGCUGUGAUGGGGAGGGAAAUUUAGUACCGAAGCUUCUGAUUUCACACUGCCAAGAAAAGCCUCUAAUGAGAUAACAGGUGCCCGUACCGUAAACCAACACAGGUAGGCACGAAGAGUAUUCGAAGAUGAGCGGGACAACUCUCGUUAAGGAACUCGGCAAAAUGACCCCGUAACUUCGGGAGAAGGGGUGCUUCUUUUGCGAGAAGCCGCAGUGAAUAGGCUCGAGCGACUGUUUAUCAAAAACACAGGUCUCUGCGAAGCCGCAAGGCGAUGUAUAGGGGCUGACACCUGCCCGGUGCUGGAAGGUUAAGAGAAUGUGUUAGAACUUCGGUUCAAAGCACUGCAUCGAAGCCCCAGUAAACGGCGGCCGUAACUAUAACGGUCCUAAGGUAGCGAAAUUCCUUGUCGGGUAAGUUCCGACCCGCACGAAAGGUGCAACGACUCGAGCACUGUCUCAACGAGAGACCCGGUGAAAUUAUACUAUGCGUGAAGAUGCGCAUUACCCGCGACAGGACGGAAAGACCCCGUGGAGCUUUACUGUAG
rnacentral:rRNA from 1 species